rnacentral:rRNA from 1 species
UACAGAGGGUGCGCGCGUUUCUCGGAAUUACUGGGCGUAAAGCGCACGUAGGUGGCGACGUAAGUCGGGUGUGAUGGCGCCGGGCUCAACCUGGGAAUUGCAUUCGAGACUGCAUUGCUGGAGUACGGAAGAGGAGGGCGGAAUUCCGGGUGUAGCGGUGAAAUGCGUAGAUAUCGGGAGGAACAUCAGUGGCGAAGGCGGCCCUCUGGUCCAAUACUGACACUCAAGUGGGAAAGCGUUGGGAGCAAACAGU